UACGUAGGGUGCGAGCGUUGUCCGGAAUUAUUGGGCGUAAAGAGCUCGUAGGCGGUGUGUCACGUCGGCCGUGAAAACCUGCAGCUUAACUGUGGGCGUGCGGUCGAUACGGGCAUCACUGGAGUUCGGCAGGGGAGACUGGAAGUUCCGGAUGUAGCGGUGAAAUGCGCAGAUAUCAGGAGGAACACCGGUGGCGAAGGCGGGUCUCUGGGCCGAUACUGACGCUGGAGGAGCGAAAGCGUGGGGAGCAAACAGG
rnacentral:rRNA from 1 species